UCGAAGCUGUUGGUGGUCGCAGUGAAAUGGCGGUUGUGACUGUUUACUAAAAACACAGGACUCUGCGAAGUCGUAAGACGACGUAUAGGGUCUGAUGCCUGCCCGGUGCUGGAAGGUUAAGGGGAUAUGUCAGAGCAAUCGAAGCAUUGAACCGAAGCCCCAGUAAACGGCGGCCGUAACUAUAACGGUCCUAAGGUAGCGAAAUUCCUUGUCGGGUAAGUUCCGACCUGCACGAAGGGCAUAACAACAUCCGCACUGUCUCGACCAGGGACUCAGCGAAAUUACAUUGGGGGUGAAGAUGCCCUCUACCCGCGGAAAGACGGAAAGACCCCAUGAACCUUUACUGCAACUUGGCAGUGAUUUUCGGGUUGUUCUGCGUAGGAUAGGUGGGAGGCUUUGAAGUCGGGCUUCCGGGUUCGACAGAGCCAACGUUGAAAUACCACCCUGAAUAAUCUGGAAAUCUAACCUGCGCCCAUGAUCUGGGCGAGGGACACUGCCUGGUGGGCAGUUUGACUGGGGCGGUCGCCUCCUAAAUUGUAACGGAGGCGUGCGACGGUUCCCUCAGGCUGAUUGGAAACCAGCCGUAGAGUGCAAACGCAUAAGGGAGCUUUACUGCGAGACUGACAAGUCGAACAGUUGCGAAAGCAGGUGUUAGUGAUCCGGUGGUACCACAUGGAAGGGCCAUCGCUCAUCGGAUAAAAGGUACUCUGGGGAUAACGGGCUGAUCGCGCCUGAGAGUUCACAUCGGCGGCGCGGUUUGGCACCUCGAUGUCGGCUCAUCGCAUCCUGGGGCUGGAGCAGGUCCCAAGGGUUUGGCUGUUCGCCAAUUAAAGCGGUACGCGAGCUGGGUUUAAAACGUCGUGAGACAGUUUGGUCCCUAUCUUCCGUGGGCGCAGGACACUUGAGAGGAGCUAUCCAUAGUACGAGAGGACCUGGAUGGACGAACCUCUGGUGCUCCGGUUGUCACGCCAGUGGCAUAGCCGGGUAGCCAUGUUCGGAACAGAUAACCGCUGAAGGCAUAUAAGCGGGAAGCUGGCCUCAAGACUAGGUGUCCCUGACGCAAGUCACUAAAGGCCCCUCGAAGACUACGAGGUUGAUAGGCUAGGUGUGGAAGCACAGCGAUGUGCGGAGCUAACUAGUACUAAUAGGCCGUGCGACUUGACCUC
rnacentral:rRNA from 1 species